UUUUUUUUUUUUGGUAUUUUUAGUAGAGACGGGAUUUCACCGUGUUAGCCAGGGUGGUCUCGAUCUCCUGACCUGGUGAUCCGCCCACCUCGGCCUCCCAAAGUGCUGGGAUUAGAGGCGUAAGCCACCGUACCCAGCAGCUCUCUUGUUCUUUACAGAAGUCUUGCAAACUAGUAUCAUCCUCAUUUUUUAGCUGACAAUGGUGAGGCUAAGAGGUUAAGUCAACUGCCCAUGAAAUGAGCAAGUGCCAGUGCAU
rnacentral:lncRNA from 1 species